rnacentral:rRNA from 1 species
UUCUUUAAGUUUUAUAUUUAAGGUAGUUCCUGCUCAAUGAUUUUUAAAUAGCUGCAGUAUUUUGACUGUACAAAGGUAGCAUAAUAAUUAGCUUUUUAAUUGGAAGCUAGAAUGAAUGGAUUAAUGAGAAAAAUGUUUUAUUAAUUUUAAUUUUAAAACUUAAUUUUUAAGUAAAAAAGCUUAAUUAAAUAUUGGGGACGAAAAGACCCUAAAGAACUUUUUAUUUUUGUUUUAGUUUUUAGUUUAAUUUAAAUUUAUAAUCAAUAUUUUAUUGGGGUGAUAAAUAAAUUUCAACUUUAUUUUUUUUUAUCAUUUAUUUAUGAUGUUUUGAUCCUUUUUUGGAGUAAAAGAUAAAGUUACCUUAGGGAUAACAGCGUAAUUUUAAUGGGGAGUUCAUAUUUAUAUUAAAGUUUGCGACCUCGAUGUUGAAUUAAGAUAAAUAUACGGGGUAGUUUCUGUAUUUUUGAGUCUGUUCRACUUUUAAAUUCUU